AAUAGAUACCCCGGUAGUCCACGCCCUAAACGAUGUGUGCUAGAUGUCGGGGGACUUGUCUCUCGGUGUCGGAGUUAACGUUUUAAGCACACCGCCUGGGGAGUACGGCCGCAAGGUUAAAACUCAAAGGAAUUGACGGGGACCCGCACAAGCGGUGGAUGAUGUGGAUUAAUUCGAUGCAACGCGAAAAACCUUACCUACCCUUGACAUGCCACUAACGAAGCAGAGAUGCAUCAGGUGCCCGAAAGGGAAAGUGGACACAGGUGCUGCAUGGCUGUCGUCAGCUCGUGUCGUGAGAUGUUGGGUUAAGUCCCGCAACGAGCGCAACCCUUAUCUUUAGUUGCUACGCAAGGGCACUCUAGAGAGACUGCCGGUGACAAACCGGAGGAAGGUGGGGAUGACGUCAAGUCCUCAUGGCCCUUAUGGGUAGGGCUUCACACGUCAUACAAUGGUGCGUACAGAGGGUUGCCAACCCGCGAGGGGGAGCUAAUCCCAGAAAACGCAUCGUAGUCCGGAUCGUAGUCUGCAACUCGACUACGU
rnacentral:rRNA from 1 species